AUUGAACGCUGGCGGCAGGCCUAACACAUGCAAGUCGAGCGGAUGAAUGGAGAUCGCUCCCGGAUUCAGUUGGCGACGGGCGGGUGAUUCCUAGGUAUCUGCCUGGCAGAUGGGGCUAAGGUCAGGACACGGGAGCUCAUACAGUACACGUCCAUAGGUAGAACGGGGGGGAUCAUUGGAGCUCACGGUAUUAGCUGAGCCUAUGUCGGAUUAGCUAGUUGGUGGGGUAAAGGCCUACCAAGGCGACGAUCCGUAACUGGUCUGAGAGGGUGAUCUGCCACACUGGAACUGAGACACGGUCCAGACUCCUACGGGAGGCAGCAGUGGGGAAUAUUGGACAAUGGGCGAAAGCCUGAUCCAGCCAUGCCGCGUGUGUGAAGAAGGUCUUCGGAUUGUAAAGCACUUUUAGUUGGGAAGAAGAGCAGUAAGUUAAUACCUUGCUGUUUUGACGGUACCAAAAGAAUAAGCACCGGCUAACUUCGUG
rnacentral:rRNA from 1 species